GGGAAGGUGGCUCAGUGGUAGAGCGCUUGCCUUGUAUGCAUGAAGCCCUGGGUUCGAUUCCUCACCACCACA
rnacentral:tRNA from 1 species